rnacentral:tRNA from 1 species
GGAAACGUGCCCGAAAGAUAGGAUCCUCCUUGAUAGGGAGGCUCAUAUGGGUUCAAACCCCAUCGUUUCCU